UACAGAGGGUGCAAGCGUUGUUCGGAAUUAUUGGGCGUAAAGCGCGUGUAGGCGGCUUUGCAAGUCGGGUGUGAAAGCCCUCGGCUCAACCGAGGAAGUGCGCCCGGAAACUGCAGAGCUUGAGUGCUGGAGAGGAUGGCGGAAUUCCCCAAGUAGAGGUGAAAUUCGUAGAUAUGGGGAGGAACACCCGGUGGCGAAGGCGGCCAUCUGGACGGUCACGUGACGCUGAGACGCGAAAGCGUGGGGAGCAAACAGG
rnacentral:rRNA from 1 species